GCCUACGGGAGGCAGCAGUGAGGAAUAUUGGUCAAUGGCCGGAAGGCUGAACCAGCCAAGCCGCGUGAAGGACGAAGGUGCCAAGCAUUGUAAACUUCUUUUGUCAAGGGACAAAAUCAGGCUCGAGAGCCUGACCGAGGGUACUUGAAGAAAAAGCAUCGGCUAACUCCGUGCCAGCAGCCGCGGUAAUACGGAGGAUGCGAGCGUUAUCCGGAUUUAUUGGGUUUAAAGGGUGCGUAGGCGGACUGUUAAGUCAGCGGUAAAAGCCCGGGGCUCAACCCCGGCGAUGCGUUGACACUGGCUGU
rnacentral:rRNA from 1 species